CUGGCGGCAACCGGUCUGCGCGCCAGCGAGCGGAGGGUCUCCGCCGGCUGUUGGAGGGGGCGCUAUAUAUUCAGCGGCCCAGCGAGUCGUCGCCACGAACAGCUCAGCUCAGCUCUCCGUCGAACUUCCAUGCCACUUUGGGCGGCCGCCGUACGAACGGUCCAGUGUCACCGAGGCAUACAGUGAGCACCACACACACAGCACCAUGCUGAUUGGGUCGGCAUCCAGGUACAUCGCGGGCCGCGGAGCCGUGCAGCGCAUCUACUGGCGAACCAGCGACAGCCAGAAGGGCGCGAAGCUCGUCAAGUACGGCCGCGUUCUCACCGUUAGCCGCGAAGACGCCGACGCCGCAACGGCCACGCCGCCGCGACGCCUCGCCGGAGACGUCCUGAGUCCGAACGCCGUCCACUUUCUCUGAGGGGCUGGACGCAACCCGGGCUGCAGCACGCAUCCGACUGCAGCACGUAGCAGGUACGGGGCCAAGACAUCGGACUGCUCCGUAGCGGACUAUGGACACCUCAGGACUGCCUCGUGAACACCUCACUCUCCACCAGUCUUUCAAGUCCAGAAGCAAACAGAGACUUCGCUUCAUCGUUUUACCUCUUAGUAUUUACAGAGCAGCUAACUCGCAGUUGCUUUCAUUCACAUUUCUCACGUGAUGAUCAAAAUGUGGUAUUUCCUGUUCUAUUUCAUAGCGAGUUUCAUUCACGGUUUGUUACUGCAAAUCGAUGAAUUGCAUCUCGUUUUUGCAUCAUCUACCAUACUUUUAUUUAUGAGCUGUGUUUGUUCAUUUUUGUUGUUGUAAUAAAACAUUUUCUAUUAUAAA